rnacentral:rRNA from 1 species
ACCCGUCUUGAAACACGGACCAAGGAGUCUAACAUGCGCGCGAGUCGUUGGGUCGGACACGCUCCGCUAAACCCAUAGGCGCAAUGAAAGUGAAGGUCGCCCUCGCGGGACCGAGGGAGGACGGAGGCGCUCGAUCUCGGGCGCCUCCCGCACUCCCGGGGCGUCUGAUUCCUCUUUCUGAGGGAAGGCGCACCCAGAGCGCACACGUUGGGACCCGAAAGAUGGUGAACUAU